UCGAGAAUUUUUCUCAAUGGGCGAAAGCCUGAAGGAGCGACGCCGCGUGGGGGAUGAAGGGCUUCGGCUCGUAAACCCCUGUCAUUUGCGAACAAACCUUACGGUCUAAUACAUCGUAAGCUGAUAGUAGCGAAAGAGGAAGGGACGGCUAACUCUGUGCCAGCAGCCGCGGUAAUACAGAGGUCCCAAGCGUUGUUCGGAUUCACUGGGCGUAAAGGGUGCGUAGGUGGUGGGGUAAGUUUGAUGUGAAAUCUCCGGGCUUAACCCGGAAACUGCAUUGAAUACUAUCUCACUCGAGGAUUGGAGGGGGGACUGGAAUUCUCGGUGUAGCAGUGAAAUGCGUAGAUAUCGAGAGGAACACCAGUGGCGAAGGCGAGUCCCUGGACAACACCUGACACUGAGGCACGAAAGCUAGGGGAGCAAACAGG
rnacentral:rRNA from 1 species